rnacentral:lncRNA from 1 species
GGUCUAUCCUGACUUAUUACAUGUAACCACUGGGAGUUAAACAAUCAACACUUGAUCACCCAAUAGGUAGGUUUUUUUUCGAUGGAAGAAUUUCUUAUUAGAUAUUUCAGUACAAGUUUUCAGCAUUUGGAAAAUGUUUUUUAGUUGCAAAUGACAUUCUAAAUAAAUGUACAAAUUAGGAAAUUGUUUAAUUUAAUGAGCAGUCGAGUAACGGGUUACUAAUAAACUUCCGUCAAUCAUGAAUGUGUACACUUGCAACCACCUGAUAACCUCUCUAAUGCUCCCUUCACAUUCAAGGAUUUUUCGUACGAGUCCUUGGAUCGUCAAUUCGUAGUCGAUCGCAAGCAUCCGUAAAUAACUCAGCACAACUUGCUUCAACUCGCAGUCCCUCUAAAGGACCCGGGAAAGGAGAGUCAUUUUUGACAUGUCAAAAUAUUCUAAGAAUUGUCAACAAAAUCUUUUUCUUCAUAAACAACUCGCUAGAAUCCUUAAGUGUCGUAAACCGUUCAUCAGCAAAUACAUUCACUCGUCUUGUAUAUAACCUCCUUGGUUAAACCGAGUAGGCCAAUAAAUACCCUGCAUUUAUGGAGAGUAACUCAAUAAAUGCGAAGUAAAAUAUUUUCUCAAUAAUUCUCUUUCCUUUUUAUUGCCCGAGUUAAUAAAUAUAUACGCUUGCCUUUUUAAUAACGAGCCUGCCAAUAAAUUCGCUUCCCGUUAUUCACAUUUCAAUAUUUCAAAUUAGAUUUACCAAACAACUUCCCUAUUCACAAAAUGUCAAUCAAAUGUUUUGUUUCGACCUCAACCAUAAAAACCUUCAUCUUUUCUUAUCAAGUAACAGGAAAACUUAGAACUCGGUGAUAGUAUUAAAACAAAAAAAAUAUAUAGUAACGCCAACGUGAAUACCUUAAGUCGGUAUCGAAGUUUUUAAUUGAAAAACGCAUUUACAAUGAAAUGCAAAUUGAACUACUGUUACAUAGAUAGCACGACAAGAAAUUAAAAGUGCAGUUAGUUUAUGUUAAAUGCUAACUCACCAACCGAAUUUUUACGGUAGAAAAUCUGCUUUGAUAUGUAUUUUCCUUUUGGUUUUUCAAUGGUCUUCAACUUUGUACGUGUUUGGUUUUAUAAUUAUUUUUAUCUGAGCGUCACUGAUGAAUUGUAUGUAGACGAAACGCGCGUCUGGCGUAUUAAAUUAUGAACCUGUUACUUUUUGAUAACUAUUUAUACUAAAUGUUUGAUGAUAUAAAUUUGACAUGCUUCCCCAUUAACAACUUUUGGUCUAUCCUGAUUUAUAAGCAACUAGGAGUUAAUAAUCAACAUUUGAUCACCCGAUACGUUUUUUUAACUUUCGAUGAACUGCAUAGAAGAAUCAUGAGAAGUUACAUUUUUUUUAUUACGAUUUGUAAUGGUAAGUUUACAAUUUGUAAUGGUAAGUUUACAAUUUGUAAUGGUAAAUUUACAAUUUGUAAUGGUAAGUUUACAAUUUGUUACUAGUAACUUACGGAUUAUUACGCAAUGUAACAGGUUGUCUACGAUUGCAGUCGGGUCGUGUUACGAUAGCUUUACAAUUUAUUACGAGUUAAAACGAGCACUUUUCGUGUCGUAACAAGUACUAAAUAUCAUCGGAAUUGCAACUCAAAUACUUAGCAUAAUUCUACGUGUAUUUUAACUAUUCGGGAAAGUUACAAUAGCUUCAAAAUAGUAAGAACUCUGAAAUACCCGUAACUAACUCAAAACGUUUUGUAGUUUACACGUAAAAGCGUUGGUGACUAGUUGCAUUCCCUUAUAUACUAGUAACAACCCUUGAAAGGCUCGUAAAAUGUCCGUUAUCUGCUCGUAGUUAUUUGUGAUAACUCUUAACAAAUCCGCGUUGAAUUUUGCCGAUAAUAUAUCGUAAUAGCUCGUAAUAACCCUUAAUAAACCGUAAAAAUCUCGUUAAAAUUCGUUAAAACUCUAGAAUCGGUCUUUAAGUGGCCAAAAUAUAAGGAUCCGCGAAUAAGUUCGAUCUGUAAGGACACAUAAGACAAAUCCGUGUGGCGGGGUCAAUAACGUUUGUGCAAAAAAAAAAGUUGACGCUAUGGACAUUAAAAAUUAUAACUCAUCGGUCAGAACGAACAGUAUUAUUCGUGUUAUACGAUUCUGAAGAGUUUUUUGUUUGAUUUUUUUUUUAAUUUAUAAAGUUGAUCAUUUAUGAAAUGCAAAAUUUAUGCAGCAUAUCUUCUUUCGUCUAGUGACGUACUUUACGAGACCUUCAAAUUUUAUAUUUUGUUGAAAUUUUUCCUUAUUUCCUCAUAAAACGCAAAAGAUGAACAGCUUAGAUUUAUUCAUAUUCUUUGACACCUAAUUAAUAAUUAUAAUUCAUAUAACUCAAUGGAGGUCAACGUUAUACUGCUAAUAGGGGAUGCAUUACAUUCUACGGUCCAAAGAUGACAAGACUUACGUACGUAUGUGCAUCAGACUUGUAUAAAUUUGUCCAAAAAUCGUAUUUAAAACAUAUUAUCAUGAAAAUUAAUCAUUCUUGUUGACGCAGAUAAAUUCAAUACUACUCCCAUUUAUAUUAAUAAAGUAUGUGAUAUAUAUAUGGAUGAUAUUUAUGAUAACAUGUAAAUGAGGAUCUGGAUAUAAAACUUGACCGAAUUACUUUAUCGAAAUCUUAUAGGGAAUCGAAAUGUUUUAACAAAAGUUGAAUAAUUUCUUUUUAAUAGUCUUUUAAUAUUCUAUUAUCAAAUUACCAUAUAUUUUUUUCGGCAAUUAACAUUAUAAUUUCCAUCACAUGACAGCUGUAGUAUUUCUUCUUUCAGUCAUUAUGUCCAAAAUCUUAAUACUUCGAUUCACUAUUGACAUGAAAAAAAUGAUACAGCAACAAAAAAAAACCCACACAAGAUAUUUAAAGUCGUCGUAAUUAUCUUUAACAAAAGAGAGGUGUUUAUCCAUUUGUACGAAAUGUCAACCUCUAAAUCUUCCCGAGUCUAUAGAAUUAGACCCUGCUUAAAAUAUUAGGUAAGACUUAAAAGACUUAAAACUUAAAAAAACCAACACACCAUAAUAAACUGAAGCUUUGCGAAAAUGUCCAUAAAUAACGGCACAUUAUGAGUUAUAUGUAGUACUGAAAUACGAGGCGACUGUCAUACAAGUGAGAGGUUUAGCUAGCUAUAAAACAAGGUUAAAUUUAGAAGGAAAACCUGUUUCAAGUUAGGAAUAUGACAUCUGUUUUCUCUUCGUUUGAUGUGUUUGAGCUUUUGAUUUUGGCAGUUGAAUUUUUGUUUUGAAUUUUCCUUUGAAUUUCGGUAUUUUUGUCAUUUUCCUUUUUGUUAAGAAGCAUGUGAGUACUAAAAACCCGAAUCUUAUGAACCAACCCACUACAAUAAUCCUACAACAUAAUCGCUGAGCUGCUCUAUAUUGGUCGAAAUAGGCGUGAUACAUGUUCUUUUAAUGACGAAGAAACCAUUCUAUGUCCAUGGAGAAAACAUGGAUAACAACUUUCGUGUUUAACGAGAGUUCAUGCAAAAAUUAGUCUUCUAUCCCUUUUCUAUGCACUUCCACUCAUAAAAAAUACUUUAGUAGAAUUAUUAAUUGGGUGUCAAAGAAUAUAUAAGCAAAGCUAAGCUCAGCAUCUCUUUGCCCUUUUAGUGGAAAUAAGGAAAAACUUCAACAAAGAAUGUCUAUAAGGUAUUGUAGGUCGGUAAUUGGCGUAAUGCAUAAAGUGCAGACUUUAUCUUUUUGCAUUCAUCGAGACCCUAGUAUGACAUUGGAACGAAAAUCAUUAAACAUCUAAUUUGCAUAUCUUUAUAACCACCAUACAUUAAUCACCAGCCGUAUAUCUGUGGUGUACGAUGCCAAUAAUUAAUGAGCCACAUAAGUUAUGUUGGUUCAAAAAAAUACCACUCAACCUCGAAACGAUACCAUCAAAGAUGUUGGUUUUCAUUUAAAUGAACAUUUUAGAUUUAUUUGUAAAGUAAUGUUGUAUCAAAUGGGGGUCGAGUAGAGAUAAAAGAGUUUUAAAUGCAAAAUCAUUACUGAUAAUUCUAAUGUAAUUGAUUUUUGAUUAAUGCUCAUUUACGGUUAAAACAGUAAGGAAAAACAUUAAUAAGGAUGGCUUCAAAUCAGGAAUUAACUUGAAACAUCUUCAGGAUAGUCAAUACAGGGUCAAUUCUUAAUGAGCAUUUUAUAUUUUCUGUCAAUACCAUUAGAAAUGUUGAACUGUUUGUAAAAGGCAUUAAAGAGCAUUUAAACGACUUUUACAAUUUCAUGCAUAGUGGACAUACUAUUGUCUCAUCAUUUUUAACUUUACUUUGAUUGGUAUACUGUGCUACAUUAGGGGACAUCAAUUAGAACGAAUGUUUGAGUAGACAGCUAUUCUGAAUUAAAGAAAAAAAGAAUAAAAUAUAUGAAAAGAACAUUAUGUCAUAGCAAAAUGUACACAGAGAUCAAAUAAAAACUGUAAAUUAUGAUUCUGUAGUAAUGUUAAUCUAACAUUACAUUAAUUAUAUAUGCACCUGACGAAGAAAUAUAUGUCAACGAGCUUUAGGAAUGACGACAGUUCUGUGGUCCAGUUACUAAAUCUUAAUAAAGCUUCAGUGGGUACAAAUUACAAAACGGUUGUGACACAUCACUCAUUUUAAUUAAUUCUAAUGCUUGAAAUAUAAACUAUUUAGGCUUAUGUAACUGAAAAUUUGUCAUGGAUAAAAAAUUCAAUUACGACUUUUAUAAACGCUGAUGCAUUUAAUAUGCCACAGCAACAGACAAAUCUUGUGUAUCCAGCCCAAGUAUUCAAGGCUCCUUGUAGGCUUUUACUGAUUUGGGUCUGUAAAAUAAGCAUAUUUUGACAACAAACACAUUUGUUCACUAACGUUAAACACUUUAUUGCAUGUUACAGUGACUUGGCUGUAAGUGUUGCUGUCCACCAAUUGCAACUUGUUCAAAAUUCUGACCAAAUUGCAAUUUGUUUUAUAAAAUCAAAUUGUUCAACUGGUCAGAUAGUUAUCAAAGUUACCAGGAUUAUAAUUUAAUACGCCAGACGCGCGUUUCGUCUACAUAAGACUCAUCAGUGACGCUCAGAUCAAAACAGUUAAAAUGCCAAACAAAUACAAAGUUGAAGAGCAUUGAGGACCCAAAAAUUCCUAAAAGUUGUGCCAAAUACGGCUAAGGUAAUCUACUCCUGGGCGUAAGAAAAUCCUUAGUUUUUCGAAAAAAUUAAAAGUUUUGUAAACAGAAAAUUUAUAGAAAUGACCAUAUAAUUGAUAUUCAUGUCAACACCGAGGUGCUGACUACUGGGCUGGUGAUACCCUCGGGGACGAAACGUCCACCAGCAGUGGCAUCGACCCAGUGGUGUAAAUAGUUAUCAAAGUUACCAGGAUUAUAAUUUAAUACGCCAGACGCGCGUUUCGUCUACAUAAGACUCAUCAGUGACGCUCAGAUCAAAACAGUUAAAAUGCCAAACAAAUACAAAGUUGAAGAGCAUUGAGGACCCAAAAAUUCCUAAAAGUUGUGCCAAAUACGGCUAAGGUAAUCUACUCCUGGGCGUAAGAAAAUCCUUAGUUUUCGAAAAUUAAAAGUUUUGUAAACAGAAAAUUUAUAGAAAUGACCAUAUAAUUGAUAUUCAUGUCAACACCGAGGUGCUGACUACUGGGCUGGUGAUACCCUCGGGGACGAAACGUCCACCAGCAGUGGCAUCGACCCAGUGGUGUAAAUAGUUAUCAAAGUUACCAGGAUUAUAAUUUAAUACGCCAGACGCGCGUUUCGUCUACAUAAGACUCAUCAGUGACGCUCAGAUCAAAACAGUUAAAAUGCCAAACAAAUACAAAGUUGAAGAGCAUUGAGGACCCAAAAAUUCCUAAAAGUUGUGCCAAAUACGGCUAAGGUAAUCUACUCCUGGGCGUAAGAAAAUCCUUAGUUUUUCGAAAAAUUAAAAGUUUUGUAAACAGAAAAUUUAUAGAAAUGACCAUAUAAUUGAUAUUCAUGUCAACACCGAGGUGCUGACUACUGGGCUGGUGAUACCCUCGGGGACGAAACGUCCACCAGCAGUGGCAUCGACCCAGUGGUGUAAAUAGUUAUCAAAGUUACCAGGAUUAUAAUUUAAUACGCCAGACGCGCGUUUCGUCUACAUAAGACUCAUCAGUGACGCUCAGAUCAAAACAGUUAAAAUGCCAAACAAAUACAAAGUUGAAGAGCAUUGAGGACCCAAAAAUUCCUAAAAGUUGUGCCAAAUACGGCUAAGGUAAUCUACUCCUGGGCGUAAGAAAAUCCUUAGUUUUUCGAAAAAUUAAAAGUUUUGUAAACAGAAAAUUUAUAGAAAUGACCAUAUAAUUGAUAUUCAUGUCAACACCGAGGUGCUGACUACUGGGCUGGUGAUACCCUCGGGGACGAAACGUCCACCAGCAGUGGCAUCGACCCAGUGGUGUAAAUAGUUAUCAAAGUUACCAGGAUUAUAAUUUAAUACGCCAGACGCGCGUUUCGUCUACAUAAGACUCAUCAGUGACGCUCAGAUCAAAACAGUUAAAAUGCCAAACAAAUACAAAGUUGAAGAGCAUUGAGCAUUUGAACUAACUGCUGUAGAAAACCACAGUCAAGUAGUGAAAGUGCAAGGCGAUGAAAUAAAUCAUACUUACAAUCUUAUAAGACUUUAACUCCACUUUAAUGAUGUUGUGACAAAAUCAGUUUAUCAGUUUGUAUAGGUAUACUAUAGUCAUUUCCAUGCUGAAGGAACUGUUAUUAUUUUGAAUUGCUAUAAAAAUGUCCAAACUAAGCUUUCAUAUAGUUUUUCUUUCUAAAAGUAUUCUAUAUUCAUAAGAAUCAGACAUUAUGUGAAUUAAAACAUUUCUUAUUCAGUAAAAUAUGUGUAAAAUUGCAAUAUGUUUGUAGGAAGUAUCCAUGGGGAGAUAAACAUUUUUUCCUUCAAAAAAAUGAUUAUCUCCCCAUGGAUACUUCCUUAUUCAAAAGGAUAAUAUUUUAGGUUAUCUCCCCAUAGAAACUUAUCAAGAGCAUAUUGUUAUUUCACACUAAUUUUACUGAAUAUAUGAUGUUUUAUUUAAAAUGAUAUCUGAAUCUUAUAAAUAUAGAAUACUUUUAGAAAGAAAAACUAUACAAACUGAUAGACUCAUUUUGUUACAACAUCAUUAAAGUGGAGUUAAAGGCUUAUAGGAUUGUAAGUAUGUUUUAUUUUAUCACCUUGCACUUUCACAUUUUGGCUGAUCAAUUUGUUCAAUAUUUUGACCAGUUGAACAAUUUGUUUUAAUAAAACAAAUUACAAUUUGGUCAAAAUUUUGAAUGAGUUGCAAUUGCUGAAUAGCAACACUAACAGUCAAGUCACUGUAAAAGCAUCUUUAGUAUCGAGGUACUGAUUUAACGAUGAAACCAAAGUGUUAAGAUUUUCAAGUAAAAAUAAUUUACACAACAGCUAAAAAAGAAUGGCGAAAGUUAUCUUUUCGAACUUUGUGUGUGUUUGUGUGUGUUGUUUUUUUUCAUUUUGAAAAAGGUUUUAUAAUUUUUAAAGAUUAUUGUACCAUCGAAUAUGAGUAAAUAGUACAUUUCGUUUCUUCACUAUCUUUCAAUAAAUGCUUAUAAAAAAAAACUAUAUCUUAAGACUAUCCCCAUCUUUUUUACAGAGAAACAAGAAGGCAAAUCCUAGAAGGGGUAGCAGUGUUUGCUCUAGCAGCAGGACCAACCAUCUUUCCCAUGACACCUGCAAUUUCUGCAAUAGUUCAUUGAGGAGGACAUUACUUUAUAACUUAUUUAUAGUACUUGGAAGGCACAAAGUUGAAAGGACCCGAAGGUCGACCGGGUUAUAUAAUUUAUAGAUAUGAGUUUUUUUUAUGAGUUUGGAGUCAAAUGUAUGACCUGUACUCAGGGAACAUCCGGGAUGACCGUAGGGUAUGAUCAUGCGCUAUCCUGGACUUCAAAUCGAAG